AAAUUUGGGUUUGUGAUUUAGAAAUUAGGAUAACAAGAAUAUUUGUGGAUAGAUGAGUAUUAUUUAAGAAUUUUUCAUCAAUGUGUUGUAUUUUUAGAUAAUUUUCUUAAAAACUGCUAUUUUUGGAAAGUUUUCAUUUUUUUAAAGAAAUAUAGUAGAUUUGAGUUUGUGGUUUAAAAAUUAAGAUAACAAGAAUAUUUGUGGAUAAUUGAGUAUUCUUUUAGAAAUUUUCAUCACCAUAGUUGUAUUUUUAAAUAGUUUUCUUAAAAACUGCUAUUUUUGGAAAGUUUUCAUUUUAUAGAUAAAUAUUAUAGAUUUGGGUUUGUGAUUUAAAAAUUAGGAUAACAAGAAUAUUUGUGGAUAGAUGAGUAUUAUUUAAGAAUUUUUCAUCAAUGUGUUGUAUUUUUAGAUAAUUUUCUUAAAAACUGCUAUUUUUGGAAAGUUUUCAUUUUUUUAAAGAAAUAUAGUAGAUUUGAGUUUGUGGUUUAAAAAUUAAG
rnacentral:lncRNA from 1 species